rnacentral:rRNA from 1 species
UGGGGAAUUUUGGACAAUGGGGGAAACCCUGAUCCAGCCAUCCCGCGUGUGCGCUGAAGGCCUUCGGGUUGUAAAGCACUUUUGGCAGGAAAGAAACGUCAUGGGUUAAUACCCCGUGAAACUGACGGUACCUGCAGAAUAAGCACCGGCUAACUACGUGCCAGCAGCCGCGGUAAUACGUAGGGUGCAAGCGUUAAUCGGAAUUACUGGGCGUAAAGCGUGCGCAGGCGGUUCGGAAAGAAAGAUGUGAAAUCCCAGAGCUCAACUUUGGAACUGCAUUUUUAACUACCGGGCUAGAGUGUGUCAGAGGGAGGUGGAAUUCGGCGUGGAGCAGUGAAAUGCGUAGAUAUGCGGAGGAACACCGAUGGAGAAGGCAGCCUCCUGGGAUAACACUGACGCUCAUGCACGAAAGCGUGGGGAGCAAACAGG